AUGUACACGGCUAUAAACACGUACAAAUCCAAUGACUGGUACAUUCCUUUCAUCUUCACUCUGAUGGCUAUUUUCCUUGCUGGGUUGAUUUCCUGGCUAUGUUUCCUGCUUUGGAAAUACGGGAACAUUAUGGAAUGCUGUCAGAAAAUGAUCAAGGAAGUCUCCAAGGCCAAACCCAAUGAAAUGAAGUAUAUUGCAGGUGACGGAAAUCAAAAGGAAAAUAUUGUCACAGGAAACAGAAAUAAAAAAUUAGAAGUAUUAACAUCUCUGGGAAUGUAUAUGAAUAUAACAGCAGAACAGGUGCAAGAAAGUGGAAGAAGUCCCCCAGGCACCAGAAGGAGCCCUUGGCAAACAUAUAUUCCCUCCCAGAGGUCCAUCCUUUAGAGGAGUCUACAUCCUUAAAAAUUCCUUUGCGAGGAUAGCAUUUUUCCAGUGUCUGAAUGAUUGUUUUUUUGUGUAUAUGAUUGUCACAGGCAGUUUUUCUUGGCUACCUAAAAUUAUAGACACGAGGCCAGCUGCUUUGUCUGUGUUUAUAGCUUUUUGUAAUCUUCUAGUUCAGGGUGUCUGUGUGAAGGCAGCAGGAGUGGUCAGCUUUGAAUCUCUGAACAUGUUUUGCUGAAAACGAGAUACUAAAUUGACAUAUGUUCAUUGUCUUACUUUGCCCAGUAGAAUGUAUGCUUUUUAAGACCAGAGACUAUUUUUCUCACUGCUUUAGUCCCAGUACAUGCUUGGCACAGAGUGAGGACUCUUUAUAUAUUUAUGAAUAAAUAAAUUUGAAUAUAUGAAUCCAG
rnacentral:lncRNA from 1 species